rnacentral:rRNA from 1 species
CUACGGGAGGCAGCAGUAGGGAAUCUUCCGCAAUGGACGAAAGUCUGACGGAGCAACGCCGCGUGAGUGAUGAAGGUUUUCGGAUCGUAAAGCUCUGUUGUUAGGGAAGAACAAGUGCAAGAGUAACUGCUUGCACCUUGACGGUACCUAACCAGAAAGCCACGGCUAACUACGUGCCAGCAGCCGCGGUAAUACGUAGGUGGCAAGCGUUGUCCGGAAUUAUUGGGCGUAAAGGGCUCGCAGGCGGUUUCUUAAGUCUGAUGUGAAAGCCCCCGGCUCAACCGGGGAGGGUCAUUGGAAACUGGGAAACUUGAGUGCAGAAGAGGAGAGUGGAAUUCCACGUGUAGCGGUGAAAUGCGUAGAGAUGUGGAGGAACACCAGUGGCGAAGGCGACUCUCUGGUCUGUAACUGACGCUGAGGAGCGAAAGC